rnacentral:sRNA from 1 species
ACACAAUGAGACGCUGGGGCUUGGACAUCCCAGGGAAGAGGAAGUGGCCACUUAUCCCAGGUGGUGGGUAGUAGGCAUUCUGGAGCUAGAAGGCCCUCAGGCCCACUGGGUUCAAGAAAUAUCCAGGGUAGUGAGAAGA